AACACAUCAUCAAGUUUGAGCCAGUAAAAGUCUGAAAAAUUAAAACUGUGAAAGUUGAUAGCAAUAGCUGGAAGUAUUUACCUCUGAAAUUUAUUUUUCUUUUCUGCUUUCACUGUUUGAUCUGAAUGUAUUGUUUUUGAUUAUUAACACGUUCAGGUUAGUAUUUAGAUUUUACAUUUGAUACCAGAGUCUUGUAUGUCUCUGCCUUGCUUUGUUUGACACUCAUAUAUCUGAAACGUUGUUUUAUUAAGAUAUGGACAUUCUGUUUUUGAACAUUUUAAUCAUUAAUAAGACCUGAAAUCAUAUGGAAAUUGAGUUUCUAAGCUUUCUGUGAAUUAAAACGAUGAGUUUGGUGUUGAGAAUGAAGAAACAAUCAGGUUUCUAUUUAGGUUUGCGGGAUGGAAAAGGUAUCGCCUUGUUACGUCGGCAUCACGUGAAAUGUUAGUCCAUACUGCAAAGGUCUUUUGUUAUUGCUUCCUUUGACCCACCGUGACAUCAAAUGUUUUAAUAAGCUAAUAAUCUGAUGCGAGCCCUUUGUUUCUACUUAAUUGAAGUCCAAUAGUCCUCUUGAUAUCACAUGAAAGUUUGAAACAAGUUAAUGUCAUGUUUAUGAUCUUGAAAGCCCUUUAUGUGAGGCCAUCAUUUUCUUCUUUUGAAAGUUCAUGUAUAUUGUUUACUUUUACAAUCAUAUUUCUAUACGUGC
rnacentral:lncRNA from 1 species